UUUAACUUGGAUGCAAGGCGGGUCGAAAUCACAGUGAUCCUUGCAGUGACUCCCGUAUCUGUCGAUCGUCCAAGGCAACUGAGAUGAAGACCUUCCUGGCCCUGACGUCACUGCUCGUGCUUACGACGCAUGCUUCUGGAGUUCCACUGCACUUCAAUGGAUACGAGGUGUGUGAGUCUCAGUGUAUGAGCAGCUACGACAUCUGCAUCAGUCUCGGCGGAUGUGACGACAUCGUCGACUAUUCGCUACGUUACACCUGCCAGCAGCCCUGCUUCAGUGACGGGGAAACAUGUCUGGGGAAAUGUGGUCAGCAACACCUGUAGUAGACGAGCUACCGCCGUACUACUGAACUCGCCGCGCAUGUGCAACACAGCUACCGCCGUACUACAGAACUCGCCGCGCAUGUGCAACAUAGCUACCGCCGUACUACAGAACGCCCGCGCAUGUGCAGCACAGCACCGCACAUGUGACAACACUUGAUAUGUGCCGCUGUUGUGCGAUUUGGACCUGUUUAUUUUGUGCAAUAAUUUUACCAAUGCGGACAUAAGUAAUGUACUAUUCUGCGUAAACGUUGCAUGUUAA